AGCUGAUUCAAACUGCAGUUCCACAUCCGUCGAGUAACAACUGCAGCCGCCGAUCCACCCAGCCGGAGAAUGGAACGGCUCGUCUGCUCCGGCACGGCGGCGGCGCAGGUACGAGCCGCAACCCAAAACCUGUUUCGACCCAGCGAUUUCGUCGAACACCCGAGGUGCACUCUGUUCUCCUUGCCCCCUUCGUUUUCGUUCACGCCCCAUGACUCUUGCUUCUGAAACAGAUUGGAGCCGAGGUCGCCGCUGACCGCGGGGAUGAGGGGAACGCGGCCGCCGCCAUGGGGGCCCUGGAGUUGGGAUCGCGUGCUCGCCUCUGCCCCGAAUCGAUCCACUUUGCUGCUCCUGCGACCUCUCGUUGGUGUGACUAUCCAAACGGCGAAACGGUUCAAGGGUACUAUUGACCUGCUGGGCCAUUCUGAAAAAGAUUCAGAGCCAACACGCUUGUAGCGAAGAUUCACGGUGAAGACUCAUAUAAGGUAGACUGCAGAACUUUAGUUCUGCCUUCUCUGGUACCAGCGAGGCAGGCCGGACCGAUGCCCAGAAAGAUGAUAUAUCAUUACUGUUUUUGCCUGAGAUCUGCAUAGAAGCUUUCCUGGCCAUGUGGUAAAAGGAGAUGUUAUUGGAGCACCACUCGGGAAAUACUUUGUUUCAGUACACGGUUUUGUGAAAAAUACAGUCCCAGACCUGUAUGUUUCCUGAGAGUACAAAGCUGCUCUGGGCUUAUAUUUAUUGACUUGAGAAGGAUUCUUAUUGA